rnacentral:rRNA from 1 species
GAUAAACGCUGGCGGCGUGCCUAAUGCAUGCAAGUCGAACGGGAGCGCCUUCGGGCGUCGACCGUGGCGGACGGGUGGAGGAGCGCGUAGCUGACCUGCCCAGGUGUGGGGGAUAGGCCUCGGAAACGGGGUGUAAGACCGCAUACGCUCAUGGUGGGGGACCGCCAUGAGGAAAGGCUUUCUUCGGAGAGUCGCGCCUGGAGGGGGCUGCGUCCGAUUAGCUGGUUGGUGGGGUAACGGCCUACCAAGGCGGUGAUCGGGUCGCUGGUCUGAGAGGACGACCAGCCACACGGGGACUGAGACACGGCCCCGACUCCUACGGGAGGCAGCAGCAAGGAAUUUUCCGCAAUGGGCGCAAGCCCUGACGGAGCAACGCCGCGUGCGGGGAGGACGCCCUUCGGGGUGUAAACCGCUUUCGGGGGACGAAGAUCGUGACGGUACCCCCGGAACGAAGGCCCGGCUAACUACGUGCCAGCAGCCGCGGUAAU